AUGUGGGGAGCAUCAAUCCAACAGGAAUGCGGGACUACCAGGAAACUCCAGAACCUCGCAGAGAUUUCGCCUCGGUUUUCAAAGCUGUACCCACGCCACGUUCCAAAACAGCUUCUCUCCGAGGUGACACGCGGAUGUAGCAAAUGGAGAAGAUCAAGGUCAAGAACUUCAAAUGUGCAAGAGGAUUCUCUGGGUGCUGCUGUCCCACAUCAUUACAAGCUGGAAUACCUAUGGAUGAAUGUCUGCAGCAGCAGAGGGUUCUUCGGUAGUCAAAAUGGGUUGAGGCACAGAUCUAGAACAAGUCCCAAGAAGAGUGUAAAUGACAUUGCUCAGGCUGAGCAGAGAAGACUCCUGAGACCUGCUCUGAAUUUUCUGGCUGACUUCUGGAGUGACUUUGGAGGAAGCUGCACAGGUCACCCUCCUCAAACACCUGUUAAGUUAACCAAAGUGUGGCAGAAGAUUACUGUGAAAACUUUGAAGAAUACUGGGGAUUUCACUAAAGGAGACUGAAAGAGUUUUUUAGAAUCAUUGUUGUAUUAACACACAACAAUAAAAAUUUAAAACUCUGAGCA
rnacentral:lncRNA from 1 species